rnacentral:rRNA from 1 species
CCUACGGGAGGCAGCAGUGAGGAAUAUUGGUCAAUGGACGAGAGCCUGAACCAGCCAAGUAGCGUGAAGGAUGACUGCCCUAUGGGUUGUAAACUUCUUUUAUAUGGGAAUAAAAUGUUCCACGUGUGGGAUUUUGUAUGUACCAUAUGAAUAAGGAUCGGCUAACUCCGUGCCAGCAGCCGCGGUAAUACGGAGGAUCCGAGCGUUAUCCGGAUUUAUUGGGUUUAAAGGGAGCGUAGGUGGAUUGUUAAGUCAGUUGUGAAAGUUUGCGGCUCAACUGUAAAAUUGCAGUUGAAACUGGCAGUCUUGAGUACAGUAGAGGUGGGCGGAAUUCGUGGUGUAGCGGUGAAAUGCUUAGAUAUCACGAAGAACUCCGAUUGCGAAGGCAGCUCACUGGACUGCAACUGACACUGAGGCUCGAAAGUGUGGGUAUCAAACAGGAUUAGAUACCCUUGUAGUC